rnacentral:rRNA from 1 species
AUUACCCAAUCCCGACACGGGGAGGUAGUGACAAGAAAUAACAAUACAGGGCUAAUGUCUUGUAAUUGGAAUGAUGGUGACUUAAACCCUCACCAGAGUAGCAAUUGGAGGGCAAGUCUGGUGCCAGCAGCCGCGGUAAUUCCAGCUCCAAUAGCGUAUAUUAAACUUGUUGCAGUUAAAAAGCUCGUAGUUGUAUUUUUGCUUGGCGGUUUGUUGCCUUUGUGGCUGUAUCCCGCUUGGCUUUUGGCUUUUUGCCUUAUUACUUUGAGAAAAUUAGAGUGUUUCAAGCAGACUUUUGUCUUGAAUACUGUAGCAUGGAAUAAUAGAGUAGGACUUUGGUUCUAUUUUGUUGGUUUGGGAACCUUGGUAAUGGUUAAUAGGAACGGUUGGGGGCAUUCGUAUUUAA